UUCAACAUUUGCGCACAAAUAAUGCGAAAACUAAGGAAGUCGCAUGGAGAACUGUUAAGUGUCCUCGUCAACCAUCAAAAUCAGUACAAUGUGGAUUCUAUGUUAUGAGGAUGAUGAAAGACUUCAUGACAAAUGAGUUUUCAAUGCGAUGGCUAACUAGUAAAUGUGGCGGGAAGAAUUCUUACACAAAGGAUGAGAUCAAUGAAGUACGUGAAGAAUGGGCACAAUGCGUUAUGGAUUUGAUGAGUACUACAUAAGUCUACUCACUUUUGUUAACUUAGACUUUUAAAGAGAUAUACUUAGAAUAACUUAGACUUUCUUAGAGAUACACACACUUUUAUUGUCUAACUAUAGUUUACACUUUUGUUGCUUAUAUGAGUAAUUUUGUAAUUAACUUAAGACUCAUCAUUAUUUUGGAUAUUUAAUUCAAAUUCUAGUAUUUUAUAUUA